UACGGAGGAUCCAAGCGUUAUCCGGAUUUAUUGGGUUUAAAGGGUGCGCAGGCGGGAGAUUAAGUCGGUGGUGAAAUUUUGCAGCUCAACUGUAAAAGUGCCAUUGAUACUGGUUUUCUUGAGUGUAGAUGAAGUAGGCGGAAUUUGUGGUGUAGCGGUGAAAUGCAUAGAUAUCACGAGGAACUCCGAUUGCGCAGGCAGCUUACUAAACUAUAACUGACGCUCAGGCACGAAGGCGUGGGGAUCAAACAGGAUUAGAUACCCCCGUA
rnacentral:rRNA from 1 species